UUGUGAAAUGUAAACAAAACACCUGUGGAAAUAUUUUGUGUCUGUGUUUUUAAAAUGGGACAAAUUUUUCCUAUGGAUAUUUUCUGUUGUUUAGCGAAGUAGCUGGCUAACGGCUAGCUGUCAAGAUAUGCCUACAAAUAUUAUUCAGGGAGGCGAUGUGGCAGACUAUCUUGUGUCGUCCUGUUCGAGGGGGGACGGCCCACCCCGGAAGUGACUGGAUGACCCCCUGCUUCAUAUAAAGUACAUAUAUGUCUGCAGCAGCAUUCAGGUCCACACAAGAGUCAGGCCGGUGGUUGUCCCACCUCGUCAUCCAGAAUGAAGUGAUACCAAACCUCAUCCCAGCCACCCAUGCAAUGCAAUCUUGAGAAAACAUACAGCCAUCUUCUUCCAUGGAGAUUACCAUAAUAAAAGGUAAUAUUAUUUCUUAUUUAUUUAGAAAAUCAUUAAGACAACAUUUAUGUUUUUAUGUUUUUUGUUAUUUUAUGUGAAUAAUGCCAUAAAAAUAC